UGAGAUGAUUCAGCCUCACAGACUAUCCAACCAAGACUUCAGAUAAACAAAAUACUUUCCAAUCACAAUAGACUAAAGAAAAAUCAAUAUAUCUAGCUCUCUGAUUACUUGGCCUUUAUCCUAAUUUUCCAAGGGUUCCCUAAAGAUGCCAUCACCUACAGACAACAGGAAGCAGUCUAGAGAACAUGAUGCCACACUCCCAAGAGAUCUUCUGCAUACAAGAAGUAUCCCAGUCAUCUUCAAUGUAUUGGAUAUACCAGGCUAGAGGAAAAGAAUCUACCCUGUAAUGCAGACCCUGUGGCUUCUACAAACUCUGUAGGUAGGAAUGACGAGGAGUUCUCUGUUGAGUUAACAUAACUGAGUAUAUAUAAACAAUUUCCUGAAAUAGUAAUGUUUGAUGACUAAUGAAUUAUA